UUUGACGUUAGCGACAGAAGAAGCACCGGCUAACUCCGUGCCAGCAGCCGCGGUAAUACGGAGGGUGCGAGCGUUAAUCGGAAUUACUGGGCGUAAAGCGCAUGCAGGUGGUUUGUUAAGUUCAGAUGUGAAAGACCCGGGGCGUCAACCUCGGAAUAGCAUUUGAAACUGGCAGACUAGAGUACUGUAGAGGGGGGUAGGAAUUUCAGGUGUAGCGGUGAAAUGCGUAGAGAUCUGAAGGAAUACCGGUGGCGAAGGCGGCCCCCUCGGACAGAUACUGACACUCAGAUGCGAAAGCGUGGGGAGCAAACAGGAUUAGAUACCCUGGUAG
rnacentral:rRNA from 1 species